rnacentral:ncRNA from 1 species
CAGAGUAGGUGUUCGAGCGUUGACCGGAAAUCGGUCUGAAGUGUCAUCCGCACAGGGAGUUGGCGGAUGAACGAAGUGUAAGGAACCGCGGUUCGGACACCGCAUCCCGCUGU